rnacentral:rRNA from 1 species
AAAGAAGAACACGUAUGAGAGUAACUGUUCAUACGUUGACGGUAUUUAACCAGAAAGUCACGGCUAACUACGUGCCAGCAGCCGCGGUAAUACGUAGGUGGCAAGCGUUAUCCGGAUUUAUUGGGCGUAAAGAGAGUGCAGGCGGUUUUCUAAGUCUGAUGUGAAAGCCUUCGGCUUAACCGGAGAAGUGCAUCGGAAACUGGAUAACUUGAGUGCAGAAGAGGGUAGUGGAACGUCCAUGUGUAGCGGUGGAAUGCGUAGAUAUAUGGAAGAACACCAGUGGCGAAGGCGGCUACCUGGUCUGCAACUGACGCUGAGACUCGAAAGCAUGGGUAGCGAACAGGAUUAGAUACCCUGGUAG